rnacentral:misc_RNA from 1 species
GCAACGUGGCGGCACAGUCACGAUCGGACACGAGCACGCUGGAGCCAUCACGAAGGAAUUGCUGCGUCGAGAAUUCAUUGUCGACUACCGCCCCGGUGCGGGCAUUCGCAUCUCGCCUCACUUCUACACCAAGGAUGAGGAGCUGGAGCUCGUGAUUGACGAAAUGAAAAAGAUCGCGGCGUCUGAC